rnacentral:rRNA from 1 species
GAGCGGGAAAAGCUCAAAUUUAAAAUCUGGCGUCCUCCGGGCGUCCGAGUUGUAAUCUGGAGAAGCGUUUUCCGCGUCGGACCGUGUACAAGUCUUCUGGAACGGAGCGUCAUAGAGGGUGAGAAUCCCGUCUCUGACACGGACUACCGAUGCUUUUGUGAUGCGCUCUCGAAGAGUCGAGUUGUUUGGGAAUGCAGCUCAAAAUGGGUGGUAAAUUCCAUCUAAAGCUAAAUAUUGGCCAGAGACCGAUAGCGAACAAGUACCGUGAGGGAAAGAUGAAAAGCACUUUGGAAAGAGAGUUAAACAGUACGUGAAAUUGUUGAAAGGGAAACGCUUGAAGUCAGUCGCGUUGGCCGAGACUCAGCCUGGCUUGCCUGGUGUACUUCUCGGUUGACGGGUCAGCAUCAGUUUUGACCGUCGGAUAAAGGUUGGAGGAAUGUGGCAUCCCUCGGGAUGUGUUAUAGCCUCUGAUUCGCAUACGGCGAUUGGGACUGAGGAACUCAGCACGCCUUUAUGGUCGGGGUUCGCCCACGUAACGUGCUUAGGAUGCUGGCAUAAUGGCUUUAAGCGACCCGUCUUGAAACACGGACCAAGGAGUCUAACAUGCCCGCGAGUGUUUGGGUGUUAAACCCGAGCGCGUAAUGAAAGUGAAAGUUGAGAUCCCUGUCGUGGGAGCAU